rnacentral:lncRNA from 1 species
ACAUAUCUUAUGAUCCACUAGAUGUAGUUUAGGUUCGAGUGCGAUAGAAAAAAAGUCAAAAUCGGAGGCAUGAAGCAACAUUGAUUGUCGAUCAAGAGAGUACUUCUUGGUAGAUUUGUAGAAAUCACAACACUAACUUCUGCAGUUCCAAGCUCGCCUUUAGCUGCAUCACCACGUCUGCCCCAGUUCUGCAUCAAUCGGCAUACUUCCUGACUGAGUUCACGUCCGACUCCCCAUGGAGCAACAUCGUCCUCGAAAUCGCGUCAAUCUCACGUAGUUCAGUGGGUUUACAAGAGGCUUGCUGUAGGGAAUAUCGAGGAUGUUAUGCCUGCGAGGUGAACACGACGUGGAUUCUUAUCGGAAACUCUGCCUACGGAGCGCUGACUUCUGCCAUGCAAUACUCCUCCAAGAGGGCUACAAUGACCGAGGUGGUGAUGACGAACACUGCAGAGUGCGCAUGACAAAACCCAAUUGAUGCAAGCAUACAAAAAGUAGAAUCUACAUAGAGAACAUAGCGAC